GAUAUUAGUAAUCAGAGGUGCAGUGCUUCCACUGGCGCAGUUGCCCACUCAUAGUCUAAUAACCCCGGUGUCUGUCCUUCGACUCAGAUCGGUUAAAUCAAAGGUAACUAAAACAGGGGCUAUACUUAAGAACCUAAUUCGAAUUAAAACUACCACUGCAAUAAUAGAACAGAAUAGGAAAAUUAGAUGUGGACAAUUAGAUAUUAGAUCUCUGUCUUCUAAAGCAGUACUAGUAAACAAUCUGAUAUCAGAUAAUUAAAUUGAUCAAUUCUGUCUUACUGAAACAUGGCUGUGCCAUGAAGAAUAUGUUAGUCUAAAUGAAGUAA